UUUUUUUUGGGGGGGGGGGGGUGAAGCAGCAUUCCUGUCCUACGGAGCAUCUAUAAGUUUCUGAUCGUGGCAAUCUGAAGUUCCCACUGCAGGCAAAUGAAGAUGUAAUGAAAAAGCCAGUGUCAGAAAAUCCAAAGAAGGCAGAACCAAAUUCUGAAAAGUCAUUUUCUCUUAUUUCUUAAGAGAGCCAGAAUUUUGCUUCCCUCUUACUCCUUUUUCCUGUAUGAAAAGCAGGGAUCUAUUUACCUGACCUCUUCCUCCAUGGCCCAUGGCUAUCUGACCUCUCUGCUCUCCCACCCUAACAGCCCUCCCCACCUCUUCAUUUGUAGAUGGAGUUUCUCUCCCAGCUUGGUGAUUAAUUUUUAUCAAAGCCGGCACCAUUUCUGAUUCUUUCGUCAAUAAAUAAAUCCGUAAUCCCACAGAUGCUGACAAUAGUGAACCCCCUUUGUCAUUUGAUUUCUACUUGCUCUGAAAAAUAAAAAUAAUAAUAAUAAUAAAAAAUACAAACGCCCCACCAACAACUCAGAUCAGCCUUUUUCUCCCAGCCAGACCCAACUCUCUCCCCAUUAUCCUCUUGGCUGUUUGCGAGGGGGUUUCCUCUCUUUCUUUUUUAUCUCUGUACUCACUCUAUGACCCCUGUCCCCCUGUUUCUUGCUGUCUGACCUAACCCCCCACCCCCACAUCCACACCCCUUGCACUCCCCGCAAACACACUCACAACUGCCACCCCACCACCACCACCUCACUCCCCUCAGCCUUCAGCUUUUACCCCAACAGUACAGAUAUCCUACCACUGUCUCUGUUCAUGCAAGAAAAGAAAAAAAAAAAGGUUUCCUUUUUUACUUGUUUUUCUCUGGAAUGGAAAAAAAAGAAUAAUCAUCGUUCUACUUUUUUUUUUCAUCUGACUGUACUUUGAACCCUCCUUUCCGAAAGCAAUGUUUUUAUAUUACGUUUAUGCCAAUUUUUGCAUUUUAAUUACUUAUUUUUUUUUUUAUUAUUGUGUGAGGUUAUUGUCAAAAAAAGGCCUCUUUCCCACUGCAGCCAGUUUUUUUCCCCUAUUGCAUUUGUUCUGAUUUUGCGUAUUUUGGUGUUUUAUUCUAUUUUGAUUUUCAUUGUUAUUAUUUUUUUUUUUUUACAUAAACUGAUGCUGUAACUAAAAGCGACCCGCGGAUGCAGCUUGGACCGCCAUCUAAAGUUCCCGAUGGUUACUUUGCAUUAAUCCUGACAUCCUAAGAUCAGAUGUAUAGGGCAGUAUUGCGUUUUCUCUUCACGAGAAAGAAAUAUUCCCUUGAAAGUCAGAGUCGGUAGCCGAGUGUAGUUCGAGGCAGCAGAGCCAGCCUCCCUGUCUCUUCCCUGAACCCACAUGUCUGAUCCCCUCGUCACGCAGCUCCCACUCGCAGCCUGUCCGUGUGCGGGGUCCUGCUGAUCCGCUCUUGUCACGCAGGAGACCCGGUGCUCCGUUUUUUUUUUUUUUUUCCUCUCAACCCCAUCAACAGCACCGACACCACAUUCAACUCAACGCCGAGCCCCCCAGAUGCACGCACGCACACGCGCGCGCGUACGCACGCACACACACGCUUGUCAAUCGAUCUGCAUGUGACUUCGUCAGUGAAUGAGCGAGAAUCCAGUGAAAAACAUCACCGAAAGGAGGCAAACAGCUGUUGUAAAAUAAUAAAAAAAAAAGGGGGCUAAAACACGGAGAAAGUGUUUGAGGGGGAAAAAGUGUGCCGCUGACGGAGCUGAGGCUGGGCGGAGGGAUUGCACAUUUCACACAAGAGACGUUGUCGGAGAAGAACAAAACUGUCCUCAACCAGAAGAGGAUUUUAUUAGAAAUCGACGGUGGCGAAACUCUCUGGAUGUGGAAGGUGUCAAAUCUGGUCAGAAAAACAGAGCAGAAAGCGAGAGAAGCUUCCCCCCCCACCCCCUGCUUUCCCGGACGCCCACGGACCCACAGGCUGGACUUGGAGCUCCUUCCCUGGGCUGCGCUCAUGUGGAGCUGCCGCUGCCCCUCGUCCGCUCUGCACAGCUCUCUCCCACCCCACCACCACCACCUCCUUGUUGCAUUUGUGCUCUAAAACACGUCUCUUAACAACCAUUAGCCUUCCAUGCCCAUUUCCCCGAUCCCAGCGCAGAAAACAAAAACACGAAUCUGUUUUUAAAACCGUGUUUUUCUACGAUCAACUGCUCUGGAGUGGAUCGCUGUCUUGCCCGUUUCUUAUCUUCCAUUCAUGAGAGGAGGAGAGGACGGACCGCUCGUGUAAACACAGCAAUGGGAUUUGUCUCGCCACUCAAAGGUUCAGGUGGAUUGCCAUGUCUUGGUAGGUUGUACAUGCUCUUAUCAUUUUGAGAUGAUGAGUUGACCAAUGUUUGAUCAAUGUUUAUAGUCUAGGUUAUUGUUUUAUAAGCUAACCCUAUUUUCUUAGAUAUGUCAUGUGUUUGCUGGUCUGUUUUCUCUUACUAAUACUCCUGAAAAACUUCUAAGACUUUCACAGUACAACUGCAACUAUACUGACUUUAAAUGGUUUAUUACAUGAAGUCCUAAUAAAAUACACUGAGGUUUAUUAUUGUAAUGCAAAAAAUUAUAAACAGUUUAAGGAAUAAAAAUGCUUUUGACAGGCAUGACUUUUUCCUGAUGUUGGUUUUGUUUAGUGUCUAAAAUGUCUAGUUUUUGUCAGGAACAAAAUACUCAGAAAUAUCCAACCUGAAAUCUUCAGGUUGGCGUAUUUUAGGGGUGUUUUUGUUUAGCUGAAAGAAGUGAUUAACAGAAAAUAAUAAUUAUGCCAGUGUUUUUCUUUGAUGAAUAAAACAAUCCUGACUGAAAUUUGACGGUACUAUUCAUGAAAAAUAUUGUAUGAAAAGUGAUAUUGUAUUGUCAGAGAGGCUUCAUUAACAAUCCUAAAUGUAUUACUUUUAGUGUUUCAGCCCACAUCAAUUCACAAAGACAGAUUGGAGAACAAAUCCAAAUAAUCUUGUAUAUAUAUAUUUUUUUGAGCUACCACAAAGUGCCUGAGCUAUACUGAUGAUGUGGAGUUAUGAGCCACAUUCUGGCAGGUUUUGAGCAUUUUGAACAUUCAUGUGAGUUACAACAACUGUAUCAACCUGCAUUUAUUCCACCUUUUGAUGUCAAGCUUCUUACUAUCUGCAAAUACAAGUCUCCAAGAGGGAAGGCCAAGGGAAACAGGAAACAGCUUUUUACAGGUCCUGUUUAGAAAUGCAAAUGUAUAGUAAGGGCACCACUGUCCAAUUACAUAUAUCUUUCAUGUAUAAAAUCAUGCAUGCCUUUUUUUUUCUGCUCGGAGAAGGCUCGCACAAGGGGAGAAACCCUGGCUGCAGAAGAACAGUGAAAAUAAGGUCGAGUGUCGGAGCCCUGGAGCCCUCCUUCAGCACGCAGGAGAGGCGGGAGGGAUGAUGCUUCCCCCCAGAUGGAAAUCCUUUUUUCUCCUGAAUUCGGCUUUAUUAUCAUUCCCCUCCUUGGAAGGCAGCUGAUCUGUUUGAGCUUAAUUCAGAUUUUAUUAAAAUUAUUUCCAGAUUGUGACAGUGACAAUUUCUGCAUUAACAAAUAUAUUUUUUAUUUUUGUAUGUUUUCAUAUAAGCAACCUUCACAUGCUUUCAUAAUAAAAUAAAACACAGACUUUUCUUUAUUUGCGUGUCCUUAUUCUCAUUGUCAAAACAAGUGUGUUUAGAUCCUUAAAUCCAAGUGACUCAUCUCCUGCUGGUUUUGCCAUAUUUUCUUCCUUUGUUAAAAUAUUCUUCCUUGAUUUCAUGAACCAAUUUUUCUUAUUAUCAGACAUAAUUUCAAGUGAAGAACAAUCUCCUCUUUGUGUCAUUGAUAAACA